rnacentral:misc_RNA from 1 species
GAUGAAGAACGCAGCGAAAUGCGAUACGUAAUGUGAAUUGCAGAAUUCAGUGAAUCAUCGAGUCUUUGAACGCACAUUGCGCCCCCUGGUAUUCCGGGGGGCAUGCCUGUCCGAGCGUCAUUGCUGCCCUCAAGCACGGCUUGUGUGUUGGGCCUCCGUCCUCCUCCCGGGGGACGGGCCCGAAAGGCAGCGGCGGCACCGCGUCCGGUCCUCGAGCGUAUGGGGCUUCGUCACCCGCUCUUGUAGGCCCGGCCGGCGCUUGCCGACACAUCAAUCUUUUUUCCAGGAUGACCUCGGAUCAGGUAGGGAUACCCGCUGAACUUAAGCAUAUCAAUAAGCGGAGGA